rnacentral:tRNA from 1 species
GGGGGAGUACCCGAGUGGCCAAAGGGGGCAGACUGUAAAUCUGCUGGCGAUGCCUACGGAGGUUCAAAUCCUUCCUCCCCCACCA